AACAUUUGCCAGCACUAACGAAGGACGACGAACAUUCUUCGUGGCUCACGACUGAUGACGCAAGCGCGUCGUCGGUCCCAAAGUUCCAGUGCGUGGGAUUUGGCGGCAGGUUGAGUGGAGGCGCGCGCGGGUAAUACGCACAGAAGGAGUCGGUAGUGUGAGUUGGCCGCGGUCUUGUCCUGGGAAAACAACAAGCAGUAUGGCACUUCCACAACUGAGCGAGGGCGCUAUCUCGGCUAUGUUAGGUGGCGAUUCUUCUUGCAAGCCAACUCUGCAAGUGAUUAAUAUCCGCCCAAUCAACACUGGAAAUGGCCCUCCACGUUACCGUCUCUUAAUGAGCGAUGGCCUGAAUACCCUUUCAUCUUUUAUGUUGGCAACCCAGCUGAACUCCCUUGUGGAUAACAAUCUUCUUGCCACAAACUGUAUUUGUCAGGUGUCACGGUUUAUUGUAAAUAAUCUGAAAGAUGGAAGGAGAGUCAUCAUUGUAAUGGAGUUGGACGUUCUGAAAUCUGCUGAUUUGGUUAUGGGAAAGAUUGGCAAUCCACAGCCUUACAAUGAUGGGCAACCGCAGCCUGCAGCACCUGCACCAGCAUCUGCUCCUGCUCCAGCACCUAGCAAACCACAGAACAAUUCAGCUCCUCCUCCUUCAAUGAACAGAGGAACGUCUAAAUUGUUUGGAGGGGGAAGUUUAUUGAACACACCUGGGGGAUCUCAGUCCAAGGUAGUGCCCAUUGCAAGUCUCAAUCCUUACCAGUCCAAGUGGACGGUUCGUGCUAGAGUUACCAAUAAAGGUCAGAUCCGCACGUGGAGCAACUCCCGAGGGGAAGGGAAGCUAUUUUCAAUUGAGAUGGUGGAUGAGAGUGGUGAGAUCCGAGCUACAGCUUUCAAUGAGCAAGCUGACAAGUUCUUUUCCAUUAUUGAAGUCAACAAGGUGUAUUACUUCUCCAAAGGCACACUAAAAAUUGCCAACAAGCAGUACACCUCUGUGAAGAACGACUAUGAGAUGACUUUCAACAGCGAGACGUCUGUUAUUCCCUGUGACGACUCUGCUGAUGUCCCAAUGGUGCAGUUUGAAUUUGUAUCUAUUGGCGAAUUAGAAAGCAAGAAUAAAGAUACCGUUUUAGAUAUCAUAGGCGUUUGUAAGAAUGUUGAAGAGGUAACCAAGGUCACAAUAAAAUCCAACAACAGAGAAGUUUCUAAGAGGAGCAUCCAUCUAAUGGAUUCAUCUGGCAAAGUGGUCUCAACAACUCUGUGGGGUGAAGAUGCCGAUAAAUUUGAUGGCUCCCGACAGCCUGUUGUUGCAAUCAAAGGAGCAAGGCUUUCAGAUUUCGGAGGGCGAUCACUUUCAGUCUUGUCGUCUAGCACCGUAAUGAUCAAUCCUGAUAUUCCUGAAGCAUUCAAACUCCGUGCAUGGUUUGACUCGGAGGGGCAAGUGGUAGAAGGAACAUCAAUCUCUGAAUCUCGCGGUGGUGGAACGGGAGGUGGAAACACUAAUUGGAAGUCUUUGUUAGAAGUGAAAAAUGAAAACCUUGGCCAUGGUGAAAAGGCAGAUUAUUUCACCAGCGUUGCUACAAUCGUGUAUCUUCGGAAGGAAAACUGUCUCUAUCAGGCCUGCCCCUCACAAGACUGUAACAAAAAGGUGAUAGAUCAACAGAAUGGCCUUUUCCGCUGUGAAAAAUGUAACAAAGAAUUUCCAAACUUCAAAUAUCGUCUCAUCCUUUCAGCUAACAUUGCUGACUUUGGGGAGAAUCAGUGGAUUACCUGCUUCCAAGAAUCUGCUGAGAGUAUUCUGGGCCAGAAUGCUACUUAUCUUGGAGAACUUAAGGAAAAAGUAAAACGAACAAGCCUAUGAUGAGGUGUUUCAGAAUGCCAACUUCCGUUCUUACACGUUCAGGGCUCGAGUCAAGCUGGAGACAUACAAUGAUGAAUCUCGUAUAAAGGCCACAGCCGUGGAUGUGAAACCUGUUGACCACAAAGAAUACUCUAGGAGGCUAAUUAUGAACAUUAGGAAAAUGGCAACUCAAGGUGUCUGAUUUGCCAUAAAGACCCUUUGAUGAAUCGCUUAAAAGAUGCGGGAGCAAAAAAUAAAAUGUCCCAAUACUAAAGCACUGAAGCUUAAACUGCAUCAUCUUCAAAACUGAUAUAACCAUUAGCACUUGCUCCCCAGAGUGUCCAGCUCCACCAAUUGAGCCGGAAUAGAUAUAAGCAUACGUUCUUUUCAUUCCGCUUCCCUUACAACUCCCGUCAACAAAGCAUUCGACAUUGCUCUCUUAUAGAUGAGAAAAAAGGCCCCCAGCAGAAACCCAUGGGGAUGAUCGUUUUGUCAUUGCUUAACGUUUCAUUCCGUACGUAUCCCAGCUGCAGAUGAGGUAAUGAAAAUACUUGGCACCCAUUGGACAUUUGUUUGCUUCAUUUUUGUUUUGAGUGUAUUUCUAAGCUAGCACAUAAAUAUGCCAUUACGUUUAAGGAGCACUUCAGUUAUUUUAGCACUAGGUGCCAUAAGUCCUAUAUUGUUUGGGGACUCCCUGUCUUCCUGUAAAAGACCUGGGGCUUCCAACCUCCUCUGCAAGUUCCUGCAGCAGCCGGAUGGAUGUGCCAUACUGUUUGCGAACGCUUGGAAUGACAAUAUGGAAGAAUUAUUAAUCAAAGACCUAUCUUUUCAAUCUGAAGACUUUCCUUCGGGGGUUUAAUAGACUGAGUCAGAUGGCCCUGAUAUUAAUCAAAAUUCUCUCUUCUGAGGAGCUCUGAUAAGCAUUGACUCUCUGCCCCCUGGGGAAAUCUGGCCAACUACAAAGCUUUGCUUUAUUUUUCAUUUAAAUUAAUAUUUUGCUUUCUUGCUCUCCCCUUUUCUUGACAGUGUGUAAUUGGCGAAGUUUGCCGUCUGUACAUUUUUUUUUUUUUUACUGCUUCCCCUACAUUUCAACUACUUUUCUAUUAUUUUUAAUUUUUUUUUGGUCUUUCCUCAAUGACUUGGAAUGAAUCGAUGUAGUUCUAGUACGAAGAAGGGGGUACCCUUUUAUUCUCUGAACGGAGUAAAAAUAAAAAGUUUCGUUUUGCA